UUGGAGAGUUUGAUCCUGGCUCAGGACGAACGCUGGCGGUGCGCCUUAUGCAUGCAAGUUGAGCGAAGCUUUUCAGUAGUUUACUACAGAAAAUGACUGAGCGGCGAACGGGUGAGUAACGCGUGAGCAAUCUACCUUAGUUACUGGGAUAGCCCGAGGAAACUCGGAUUAAUACCGGAUAUUCUUAUUUUUUCACAUGAAGUUUUAAGGAAAGGUCAGCCGAACUAAGAUGAGCUCGCGUUCUAUCAGCUAGUUGGUGGGGUAAAAGCCUACCAAGGCUACGACGGAUAGCUGGUCUGAGAGGACGAUCAGCCACACUGGGACUGAGACACGGCCCAGACUCCUACGGGAGGCUGCAGCAGGGAA
rnacentral:rRNA from 1 species